UCUGUGUGCUUGAGAGGUUUUUUUGGAGCUGACAAAACCCUGGUAUUUCAUGCAAAUAGUGGUGUCACUUUUAUUAAACUAAUUGUGAGUUCAGGCAAUAGAAUAGAAUAGGUUUAGAUUACAUAUUAAGAAAAAAACCUGAUGGUGUGCAUGUCGAUGGUGCCUGGUGAUUGCAUUAUUCUUUAAAUGUCUUUCUUAGUACCCAGCAUGAUCUUCUCCAUAAUUUUUCAACGUACUGAAUCCAUUUUGCACAUCAAGUUGCACACCAGUUCUGCAUCUCCACAAGAAAGGGACUGUUAUAGUGCAUAUGUUGAGGUCUAAUGAUUCUACUGGACCCCACUGUAAUUCAGGGCUUUGUGUUCAGUGGAUUCUUUACCAUAAUUUGAAACUAUUGACCUGAAACCAAAAAGCACUACAGAAAAGCAUCUUCCUAGUAUUUUAAAAAACUGUAUAUUAGUGAAAUCAUAGAUAAAUAAUGGAGUCUUCUCUGCAUAACAAAGAAAUAGUACUUUCAUUAAUUCAUUUUUAAUCAUAUGAACAGAGUUGCAGUUUGGGGUUUCAGUUAAUUUUCAUUUAUUUGAUUAAUUGAAAAAAAACCCCAGAUAUAUACCUGUAAAACUAUUAGAAAGAAGACAUUUUUCACCAGGACAAGGAAGGCAAUCAUGCUAUAUGCUGAACCUUCAAACUUAAUACUCCAGCUCUUGUACUAGGCCAUAAAUCCUGAGAAGCCCGUAAAAUCAGAGAUUCAAGGGAGAAACAGCAUCUCACCUUGUUUUCACAGACAUUGUACAGUUGUUGCAGAAACAUCACUGUCUUUAACUGAGCAGCAUUUCUGAUUAUUCUGUAUUAGUCCAUCUGUUGUACCUGAUUACUCUGCAGUUUUGGAUGCUAUUGGUAAACAUUUCUUGGUUUUGACAAGUCACAGCACAGUAAAUGUUUCGAGUAAAUGCAUCUCUCUGAAUUCAAGAUUUUAUAUUUGGCAACCAUACCAUUGCUCUCACUGCAAUAUAAAAUCUGACAAAGAAAUUGGUCAGUGCAACACUUUGGAUGAGGAAAUUUAAGGCAAGAGGUACCACAAAGAUACAUCUGAGAUAUACGUAAAAGUGAAUAAAGAGGUUUUGCUUCCUUAAGAAACCAGGAGUUACAAAUUUUGAUUUUCAGUAUAAUUCUCAGUGGUGUCUGUUCUAAUAGACUAAGCUGCAAAUUCUCAAGUAUUCAGUAACUGAUGUUAAAAAGCCAGAUAUUCUUUUUCCUUAACGACAACCAAAAGCUAGUUUAAACUAGAUAACUACAGUUAAACACAAAUAAAACAGAAAAAUAUUGCCCAUAAGCAAUAACAAUUUCUCGUUAGUGUGGACGUGCUAUGGUCAGCAAUCUAAAAAUAUCUCUCAUUUUUGUGGACAAUCCAUUUCAAAAGAAGCCAAGAGAAUGACACCAAGAAAGAUAAAUACUGUUAUGGCGGCUACUAUAAAGAAGUAUAUAUUCUCACAAGUUGGACAACAGGAGACUGCUAAAUGUAUUUUUUUCUUCCACUGUCUGCAAUUCAAAGGCAGCUUGAAAUUCUUUACCCAACUUUUUAAAUUACCAAUCAAAAGGCAGGCAAUGAAUUGUGACUCUGGGUUUCCCAGAAUCACCAAAUGCUCUUUAUACUAAACAUAUUGGGAGGGUAAAGAACCAAAAACCUAUUUAUUCCUCCCAUCACCAAGCACCACAAGUAGUCUGGACAAGACACAUUUAUGUUGAACAAAAGCCAGGUGAAACAGUGUGCAGGCGGCACGCUUCCAGUCACCUGAGAAAACUUUGUGUCCUGACAGUGUUAAUCAUUGCAUUAAUGAUCCAGGUGGAGGCGCUUAAAACUUUCACUUUUAUAGAAUAACACAGUCUUUAGAUAGUAUCUUUAGUAGUCUUCAGAUAAAAAGCAGAAUUCGUGGGCUUCCUGUUGAAAUUAUGUUGUUUUUCUAAAUUGUCAUGGACCCAGAGGUGGGCAUGUCUGUCAGUAUUCUGCAUAUCAUUGCUUAGAAAACCUAUCCUACCCUCUCAAUUUAGAAAAAAAUCCUAUCUAUCUUUUUUGAAUGAGUUGUUGACUUAUAGUUGGUUUUACACCUACAGGGGCAGUUGAAGGCAUAGUUGCUGGGUUUAAGCAUUUAAACGUGUGGUUAGGUAUAAGACAUAAUUUAAAUAUCUCACAUAUUGCUGCUUUUAUUUCAAAUGCUGUGGCUAAAUCAACAAACCCUAACCCAUCUGCCAUCGGUAAUGAUGGUGGUGAUUCAAUAGAUGGCACUCCAGCAUGGGAGUCAUGUUUUUGCCUGCACCCAGCCCUGUCAGUCCCCAGCAGGUGGAGUGGCUGGGUCUGCACUGGCUGGGUGGGCAUCGACUAGGGGAAGAUGCUGGGGAACCACAGAGGACCUCUGAGAACACCUGAUUGUUCAUGGUCUGAAUAGCAUUGUGGUCUUUCAGGGAGUGAGUUACUCUUGUGCCAUCCUGUGAUGCCUAAAAUGGAAAAAAAAUUCUCCAAGCAAUAUUAGUAUAGAUAAGGUAGGGAGCAGUUCUUUAAUGAAAGCUUUCAGGUGCAUGGAGUACACAGGCGCACACCCACACACAGAGUUCUCACACUUUUAUAACUUCAACUAAUUACCAUAUCUAGUGGGUACAUCCAACCUGAAAACCAUUUUGCCCUUGGUACCAUCCUCAGAACUGCCCUAUUGGAGCUGCUCGAAGGGUUCUGGGCCCUCUAUCUUGUUUCGACUAAAAUAUAUCUUCUUAUUCUGGUCGAGGUACACGUCCCAAACAGGAUGUCCUUGCUAAAAUAUCUUUCCUUGAAAAGAUUGUUAGACAGAAAUUCAUUGGAAUGUUGCAAAACCGUGAGAAAAAAUUAAGUAACUGUCUAAAGUCUCUAAGGUGAAAGAAAACUAUACAGCUAUAUUAAAAUCUACAAAAUGGCUAAAAAUCUUUAGGCAUCAUCUGCUGUUAACUCUUCCAAGAGUUUCAUGGCUAAAGGGACCUUAAGCUGUUGUGUUUUAACAGCAGAUUGCUGAAGUCUGUUCCUCCCCUUUCAGAAGCUGUUGAUGCCGGGGGGGUGAUGUUUGCGUUUUCCCACAUAACUGCAAAGAAUUCAUAGCUGGUGUGCUAUGCUCCAAUGACAUACCUUUUGACUGCUCCAUAGGAUAUGUUUUACAACCUACAGAAUAGUAAGGAUUGGGGUCAAAUUAACAAUGUACUGUUUCUCCAUGUUCAGUGCUCCUCAGUAAAUUUGCUGCUAAUGCUCCCUCUAGGUACCUUAUUCAAAGUACUGUGCACCAUCUUUCUGACAACCACUAGUACCAAAUCGUUCUUCAGGCGUAUCGGCCCUUAUCUUAGUGGACAACUUUGACGAGUUGGAAGAUGGGGCUUUGAGCUUUGGUCUAGUGGAAGGUGUCCCUGCUCAUGGCAGGGGGGUUGGAAUGAGUGACCUUUAAGGUCCCUUCCAAUGCAAACCAUUCUGUGAUUCUAUUCUGUGAUUCUCUGCCACUGUGACAUAGCAUAAACAGCGCUGGAGAAAGAGGAUCAUGAAAGCAGCUCCUUGGGAAGCUCCACUUAGGAUGUGCUUGUGCCAGAGAAUGGAAUGGCAAGCAGUGGCCAAAGAAUUUCAGAGGUGAACAGUGACUUCCCUCAAGAUGGUUCCAGACAUUGACACCUCCUUCAGGAAUCUAAUUAUGCUAAUUCCUUUCUAGUGACUAAUCUAUUUGCUGCCAGUAGAUCAGCAGUCAGAGCUGCUGUCAUGAAGAUUAGUGCCUCCAUUAAGAGGAUGUUGUGUUCAUUUAGAGGGAAAUAAAUGGACCACGGGAAUGAAGAUAGUAAUGAGGCAGAAGUUGUUUAACUUCAUCCAGGGCAGGUGUGGAAUAGCAGGAGGGAGCAGAUGUGGAGGAAUGCAGACUAGCUGUACAUAGUGAUGUGCACAGUUUGCCUGCUGUGCCUACGUGCAAGAGCAACGGAAGAACCAGAACAAAUGGUGGUAAACAGAUUUGGUGGUAAACUUUCUCACCAGUUGGAAGUGCCUCUGCAGAAUACAAAUAUUUCAAAUUAGUUAAAAGACUACGCAUUGAUAAAUUACUACCUUUCCAAUAAAGCUGUUGUGCUGAAACAGCCCUUGAAGCA